rnacentral:rRNA from 1 species
AUGUUGCCAAACCCCAAGUCCAACAUGAGUAUGGUUACUUUGAUAUGGCCCAGAGAGGGUGAAAGGCCCGUGGGGGUUGGAUCAGUUGUGUUAACGUCUCCCUAGGUAGACCUUGGAGUCGGGUUGUUUGUGAUUGCAGCCCAAAGCGGGUGGUAAACUCCAUCCAGGCUAAAUACUUACACGAGUCCGAUAGCGAACAAGUACCGUGAGGGAAAGUUGAAAAGUACUUUAAGAGAGAGUAAACAGUGCGUGAAACCGCUCAGAGGUAAACGGGUGGAUUGAACUGCAAGCUUGGAGGAUUUAACUAGUGAAUGUGGUUUGGGCUUGGCCAAAGUGAUUGGUUUUGCGAGUCUGCUUAGUCGCAGGUCCUUUCCCUCGGGAUGGGAUGCGCGAGGCACUUGUCAAGUGUAGCGCGCUCGUUAAAUUACUCGGAUCAAUUCGCUAGUGCACUUUCUCUGAGUGUUCACCACGACCGGCGCUGCUGUCUGUCUGAUGUGGUUAAACCGGUCUUGUAUUGUCCUCGUGGCUUUGCUUGGUCGGGAUGGCAGGUAGCUCGUUGGCAUGUAUGCUGGCUUCGGCUGGUGUACGCUUUGCUUUCGGGUGUUAUCAGCUGACUAUGUUAGUACUGUGCAGUGCGUCGGAGACGGCGGCUAGUUGUGUGUGCAUUCGUGCCUGCUCGCUGACGGUUUCGAGUAUGAUUGCCGUGUUGCCUGUCUCUGACAAGCCUGGUGGUUGCUCGGUACUGCUUGGUGGGUAGUUGCGUGUGUGUCACUUAUGAGGGCCAAUAGUCUGUGGUGUAGUGGUAGACUAUCCAUCCGACCCGUCUUGAAACACGGACCAAGGAGAGUAACAUGUGCGCGAGUCAUUGGGCGUUACGAAACCCAAAGGCGAAGUGAAAGUAAAGGCCUGGCUUGUCUGGGCUAAGGUGAGAUCCUGUCGUUUCUCACGCGUGGUACUACCAAGCAUUUGAGCGGCGGGCGCAUCACCGGCCCGUCCCAUGACGUGGACAUAGUCUUCGGGCUGUGCACCGUCGGGGCGGAGCAUGAGCGCACACGUUGAGACCCGAAAGAUG